GCUCACUUCAGCUAUACAUAUAAUUAGCAUAAACAGACAAUUAGCAUGGCCCCUAUGCAAGGAUGACAUGCAAAUCUGUGAAGCAUUUCAUAUUUUU
ensembl:snRNA U6 U6 spliceosomal RNA